GCACUUCGGUAACGGCGGCGCUGCAGGAUGGUGCUGCCGCACUCGUGGCUGCCUCCCGGCAAGGAAAGGCCACGGCCGUCCGCGCGCGGAAACCGGCAGCGGAAGGGCUGCUCUGGGCACACAGCCCCCGGUGAGUGCUCACUGCUGCUGUUCCAUAUCGGUACCGCGUGGCUGUCCGCUCCUUCCCUGAGGAUGCUGUUGACUGCACCUGCUUACGUGGAUUGUGUCUGCCUGGCCUCGCUCACCUCGUGGGAUGAGGGUGAAAAGGGACAAGUAGAGCACUUGCACGCCGUGCACAGGACUUGCUGAAGGCGAAGAGGCCGGACAGAGAACUCUAACUUCCUGCCAAGUCCACGCAGAACGAGUCGGCUGCUGGCGACAAUGAAGCAUCAGUUCCGACAGCGGAAAGCCACCAACCAUUCCUUAAAGUGCCACAUCAGCAUGUAACAGCCAAGGUGCAUGCUGACCUUACACUAACUGGGAAGAGGAGAAAAGAAGGAAGAAUAAACAUUUUCUUUUUCAACAA